rnacentral:rRNA from 1 species
AGAGUUUGAUCCUGGCUCAGAGCGAACGCUGGCGGCAGGCUUAACACAUGCAAGUCGAGCGCCCCGCAAGGGGAGCGGCGGACGGGUGAGUAACACGUGGGAACGUGCCCUUUGGUUCGGGAUAACUGCGGGAAACUGCAGCUAACACCGGAUACGCCCUAACGGGGAAAGGUUACGCCGAAGGAGCGGCCCGCGUCUGAUUAGCUAGUUGGUGGGGUAAUGGCUCACCAAGGCGACGAUCAGUAGCUGGUCUGAGAGGAUGAUCAGCCACACUGGGACUGAGACACGGCCCAGACUCCUACGGGAGGCAGCAGUGGGGAAUCUUGCGCAAUGGGGGAAACCCUGACGCAGCCAUGCCGCGUGUAUGAUGAAGGUCUUAGGAUUGUAAAAUACUUUCACCGGGGAAGAUAAUGACGGUACCCGGAGAAGAAGCCCCGGCUAACUUCGUGCCAGCAGCCGCGGUAAUACGAAGGGGGCUAGCGUUGCUCGGAUUUACUGGGCGUAAAGGGCGCGUAGGCGGACGAUCAAGUUGGGGGUGAAAGCCCGGGGCUCAACCUCGGAAUUGCCUUCAAAACUGAUCGUCUUGAGUAUGAGAGAGGUGUGUGGAACUCCGAGUGUAGAGGUGAAAUUCGUAGAUAUUCGGAAGAACACCAGUGGCGAAGGCGACACCUGGCUCAUUACUGACGCUGAGGCGCGAAAGCGUGGGGAGCAAACAGGAUUAGAUACCCUAGUAGUCC